rnacentral:rRNA from 1 species
ACCGGGAUUGCCUUAGUAACGGCGAGUGAAGCGGCAAAAGCUCAAAUUUGAAAUCUGGUACCUUCGGUGCCCGAGUUGUAAUUUGGAGAGGGCAACUUUGGGGCCGUUCCUUGUCUAUGUUCCUUGGAACAGGACGUCAUAGAGGGUGAGAAUCCCGUGUGGCGAGGAGUGCGGUUCUUUGUAAAGUGCCUUCGAAGAGUCGAGUUGUUUGGGAAUGCAGCUCUAAGUGGGUGGUAAAUUCCAUCUAAAGCUAAAUAUUGGCGAGAGACCGAUAGCGAACAAGUACAGUGAUGGAAAGAUGAAAAGAACUUUGAAAAGAGAGUGAAAAAGUACGUGAAAUUGUUGAAAGGGAAGGGCAUUUGAUCAGACAUGGUGUUUUGUGCCCUCUGCUCCUUGUGGGUAGGGGAAUCUCGCAUUUCACUGGGCCAGCAUCAGUUUUGGUGGCAGGAUAAAUCCAUAGGAAUGUAGCUUGCCUCGGUAAGUAUUAUAGCCUGUGGGAAUACUGCCAGCUGGGACUGAGGA